GGAAAAGAAAAUAACAAUGAUUCCCUCAGUAACGGCGAGCGAAGAGGGAUAAGCUCAANUUUUAANUCUGUUGGGUUCCACUUAACAGAGUUGUAUUUUGAAGAAACGUUUUCUGCGUCCAGGAUUAGCCUAAAUCCUUUGGGAUAAGGUAUCAUGGAGGGUGAGAAUCCCGUUCAUGGUUAAUCUUAAGGAAGCUCUACGAUACGUUUUCCAAGAGUCGAGUUGUUUGGGAUUGCAGCUCAAAAUGGGAGGUAAAUUUCUCCUAAGGCUAAAUAUUGGCGAGAGACCGAUAGCGAACAAGUACCGUGAGGGAAAGAUGAAAAGAACUUUGAAAAGAGAGUUAAACAGUACGUGAAAUUGUUGAAAGGGAAACGAUUGAAGUCAGUCAUACCAACGGGAAAUCAACCUUUUGAGCUCGGUCUCGUGGGUUUUGAAGAGUUUCAAAGCCUUCGGAUUCGCGGGAUUGGGAUCUCUCGGUGUACUUUUUCGUACGGUUAGUCAACAUCGGUUUUGAAUGUCAUAAAAUGACUGGAGGAAUGUAGCUUCGAUCUCGUAUUGAAGUGUUAUAGCCUUUGGUAGAUGUGAUGUUUGAGACCGAGGAUUGCAACGGAUACCCUUCAGGGCUAUUCGUCUGAUCUCUGAUACGUUGCCUUGAUGUUGAAAGCUUGCUUAUGAUGUUAGGGUAUUACGGUCAAAAGGUUAGAACGAAUUACAUUCGUUAAGGAUGUUGACGUAAUGACUUUAAACGACCCGUCUUG
rnacentral:rRNA from 1 species